GUCUGAUGUCUUAUGGCUGCUGUUAACCUUGCCAAUUCUAUGAAUUCAUUUAGUUUGCAUAUCCAAUCUUCUUUUGUAGGUAUGUUAUUCAAUCUCACUAAUAUAUGCAUUUUAAUGCAUAUUUUACCCUAGUACAUAUUACUUGGCUGUAGAACUGCACUGACAAAUUAUGAGAAGUAAGAAUUUCAAAGAAUGGCUGUGUUUCAGUUCGUGUAUUUUUUCAGAAACCGUGAACUGGGUAGGUUUUUUAAUGGACUCUGAAUCGAAACUCUCCCCCAGCCUUAAUAAGAGUCUCAUUGAUGCAAAAUAAGAUACCAGCAAUUUAAGUCAGAUGAGGAAGUCUAAUACUAGAUAUGACCCGCAACCCAGACCGGUCAUUUACCCCCAUGAAACCUUUUGAUUGUGAUAAGCAAGAUUUUCUUAGCUGUAAUAAAGUGACAUUCUCUCGCUAGGAAUGAAAUAUUAUCUCUCCUCCCAAGAGAUUCAUUUCCCCUCAACUUGUUGAGAUUGAGCCCUAGGCCACCUGCAUGUGAGCUAUCAGGAAACACGGUGCUCUCACUUAACCACCAGACAGCUAUCCAAAUAGCAAAGCGAGGGGCUAUCAGAGUUAAUGCUGGUGUGUGCUAAAAUAAAAGAACUCUCUGAGGUACAGCCAUGUUGCUCUUGCCAUUUGUCAGGUGUAUAAUCACCCUGGAGAAUAGGAAUAGUCAGGCCUUUGUAAAACUAUGAAUCAAUGUUCUCUGAACAAUUCAACUACUGUGUUUAGGUCAGGUCAAUACCUUCCUGUCUCCAAACACUACUUAAGCCCUCCUGCCUUGCAGGGCCCAUUACAUCAAGAGAUAUCGCUAGUGCUGCUGAAAAUCACAGCUUGCAAUGUAAUACGAAGAGAUCCCUCUUAAUAGCCCUUUCAUAUGAACAGCGGUUGGGGGAGUUGCCUGGGAACAUUAAUCCUUGUUUUCAAAAUGAUGCCCCAUAACUCUGCGGCUAUAAUGUGGAGAGGAGAGGAUUUGAUGUGUGUGCAGGCAGAAGUCAGAACUGCAGUAAAACAUUUUACUUCUAGAAAUUUGAGCAAAGUCACUUUCAUAUAUACAAUACUGUAUGGUUUUUGAAGGCGCCUUGAAUUCACUUCCAACUAAUACAGUGGUACCUCGGGUUAAGAGCUUAAUUUGUUCUGGAGGUCCGUUCUUAACCUAAAACUGUUCUUAAUCUGAGGUACCACUUAAGCUAAUGGGGCCUCCCACUGCUGCUGCGCCACCACCAAAUUUCUGUUCUCAUCCUGAAGCAAAGUUCUUAACCCAAGGUACUAUUUCUGGGUUAGCGGAGUCUGUAACCUGAAGCGUCUGUAACCUGCAGUAUCUGUAACCUGAAGCAUCUGUAACCCGAGGUACCACUGUAAUGGAGAAUUUUCAGGAAAAUGGAGUGGCUUCCAAGUUUGCAAAGUGGUUUGGGAGUUCCACAGCAGGAAACAGCUCAAUGGCAGAGCAUUUGCCUUGCAUGCACCCCAAGUUCAAUCCCUGGCAGCUCCAGAUAGAGCUCAAAGAGAACUGCUGCCAAUCCGUGUAGACAUUGUUGUUGUUUAGUCAUUUAGUCAUGUCCGGCUCUUCGUGACCCCCUGGACCAGAGCACGCCAGGCCUUCCUGUCUUCCACUGCCUCCCGCAGUUUGGUCAAACUCAUGCUGGUAGCUUCGAGAACACUAUCCAACCAUCUCGUCCUCUGUCGUCCCCUUCUCCUUGUGCCCUCCAUCUUUCCCAACAUCAGGGUCUUUUCCAUGGAAUCUUCUCUUUUCAUGAGGUGGCCAAAGUAUUGGAGCCUCAGCUUCACGAUCUGUCCUUCCAGUGAGCACUCAGGGCUGAUUUCCUUCAGAAUGGAUAGGUUUGAACUUCUUGCAGUCCUUGGGACUCUCAGGAGUCUCCUCCAGCACCAUAAUUCAAAAGCAUCAAUUCUUUGGCGAUCAGCCUUCUUUAUGGUCCAGCUCUCACUUCCAUACAUCACUACUGGUGAAACCAUAGCUUUAACUAUACGGACCUUUGUUGGCAAGGUGAUGUCUCUGCUUUUUAAGAUGCUGUCUAAGUUUGUCUUUGCUUUUGUCCCAAGAAGCAGGCAUCUUUUAGUUUCGUGGCUGCUGUCACCAUCUGCAGUGAUCAUGGAGCCCAAGAAAGUAAUGUGUAGACAUUACUGAGCUAGAUAGACUAAUGGCCUGACUCAAUAGAAGCCAGCUCCCAUGUUCCUAAGCUUCUGGAAAAGAAAGAUAGGAAAUUUGUAAUGGCCACCCCGCCCCUUGAAUCAUAAGCCACAAGCUUCAUCAUCCUUGCUACUAUUUAAAAGCUGGUGCCGUGUAGAUGGGACAUCUUUAGCCUCAUUUAUGAACUCACAAUGGCCUUAGGCAAGCCAUGGUGGUAUCUACCUAACCCUUUGCUACCAUGCUGUUUGUUUUCUGGCUGAAAUGGUGGCUGCAAGUGGGAAGUGCAUAUUGCAGGGCUUCGUUCUGGUGGUCCAUGGCAUUUCCGUGAAAAACGGUGGGAUCAGUGGCUGCGAAUGGCAAGUGUAGUGAUUCCUCCAUCAUCCUAAUAGCCAGGGGUGUCUGUCUGGAAGGUGAGGGGGUUGUACCAAAGUGAUGGGCAGAGGAAGAGACUUUAAAGGAGGGGAGAGGUUUAGGCACAAGAAAUAAUGAUGAUGAUAACAGAAGCAAAAAAACACUCCACAAUUAAAAUAUCCUACAGCAUCUAUAAUAAUAAUAAUAAUUUAUUAUUUAUACCCCACCCAUCUGGUUGGGUUUCCCCAGCCACUCUGUGUGGCUUCCAACUGAAUAUUAAAAACAAUACAGCAUCAGACAUUAAAAAGAUCCCUAUACAGGGCCUCCUUCAGUUGUCUUUUAAAAGUAAAAUAGUUGUUUAUUGCCUUGACUUCUGCUGGGAGGGCGUUCCACAGGGCAGGCACCACUACCGAGAAGGCCCUCUGCCUGGUUCCCUGUAACCUCACUUCUCACAGUGAGGGUACCACCAGAAGGCCCUCGGAGCUGGGCCUCAGUGUCCGGGCUGGAUGAUGGGGGUGGAGACGCUCCUUAAGGUAUACAGGAUAUAACACAGUAUGAUUGCUGCAAUAUGCAAAACAACAACAACAACAACAACAACACACACAAAAACCCCCAAACCAUUAAGUGGUCUGCCAAGACCCUCAGAAAGUUUCAGUUGGUCCCUGGUGGGAAAGUUUUUGUACCUGGCAUAUCACUUUUAAGAGAGCCUGCAUGAGAGUCUCCUUCUCAAAAGUCUGGAUAGAGUUUCUUUCUUUCUCUUUCUUAGCCUUAAAACUGAGACAGUGUGCCCGUGGCUCAAAAACUGGUGUUUUUUCUUUUCUUUUUUGGUUACAGAACACUGUUGUGAAGGUACCCGAGUCUUCUGUGUGUAGCCUGAUGACCAAAGCUUUGGAGUGACUAAGCACAACCCACAUAUCAACCACUCCCAAGGGACAUUGCAGCCAGUCGGGGAGGACACAAUUUUUGCAAAGAGGUGUCUGCAAAGAGAUUACAGGAGUGCAGUUUCGUGUUGCUCCCCACUUGCUCCCAAAUAUGGAAGAUGGAAGAUGGAAGAUGGUGGUGUCCUCUCUGACGCACAGCGUAAAUUAAUAAUGCAGAGUUUUAAAGAAUAAAAGCUUUACUGAGAUAAAAUAAACUUCUUCAUAAACAACAUGGUUCCAAACAGUUUGACUGAGCUUACAUACUGACUCUGCUCACAACUGAAGCAGACAUACUCUCACUGACAUCUUACAGAGAAACACAAAGUGAAACU
rnacentral:lncRNA from 1 species